rnacentral:misc_RNA from 1 species
GCGGAAGCUGCGGCUGGAUCACCUCCUUUCUAGGGAGAUUUCUCUAGAACGUCGACCGGGCUCCCCAUCGGCUGUAUGUCGAUGGGAACGCUGCUCAGUUUUGAGAGACCGCUCGUGGAGAACCCACGGCGUGUGCCUCGGUGGACCUUGAAAACCGCACAAGACCAAUAUUUAUAUGGGUAAUUUAAUUUAGCGACCGUACGCUUAGGUGUGCGGUUGCUCACCGUCAAGAUGUUAAGAGCUUAC